rnacentral:tRNA from 1 species
GCAGAGGUGGUGGAAUUGGCAGACACGCAGUCUUGAGGUGGCUGUGCCUUUAAGGCGUGGGGGUUCGAGUCCCCCCCUCUGCACCA